GACGGUAACAGCCCGGUAGUUGAAAUGGCUUUCCCUCCAGAGUGGAUCCUGAGUACGGCGGAACACGUGAAAUUCCGUCGGAAUCCGGGAGGACCAUCUCCCAAGGCUAAAUACUCCCUAGUGACCGAUAGUGAACCAGUACCGUGAGGGAAAGGUGAAAAGCACCCCGGAAGGGGAGUGAAACAGUUCCUGAAACCGUGUGCCUACAAGUAGUUAGAGCCCGUUAAUGGGUGAUAGCGUGCCUUUUGUAGAAUGAACCGGCGAGUUACGAUUUGUUGCAAGGUUAAGCGGAAAAAGCGGAGCCGUAGCGAAAGCGAGUCUGAAUAGGGCGCAUAAGUAACAGGUCGUAGACCCGAAACCAGGUGAUCUACCCAUGUCCAGGAUGAAGGUAAGGUAAUACUUACUGGAGGUCCGAACCCACGCACGUUGAAAAGUGCGGGGAUGAGGUGUGGGUAGCGGAGAAAUUCCAAUCGAACUUGGAGAUAGCUGGUUCUCUCCGAAAUAGCUUUAGGGCUAGCCUCGAGGUAAAGAGUCAUGGAGGUAGAGCACUGUUUGGACUAGGGGCCCUUCUCGGGUUACCGAAUUCAGAUAAACUCCGAAUGCCAUGUACUUAUACUCGGGAGUCAGACUGCGAGUGAUAAGAUCCGUAGUCGAAAGGGAAACAGCCCAGACCACCAGUUAAGGUCCCCAAAUAUAUGUUAAGUGGAAAAGGAUGUGGGGUUGCUUAGACAACCAGGAUGUUGGCUUAGAAGCAGCCACCAUUGAAAGAGUGCGUAAUAGCUCACUGGUCGAGUGACCCCGCGCCGAAAAUGUACCGGGGCUAAACAUAUUACCGAAACUGUGGAUGAACCUCUUUAGAGGUUCGUGGUAGGAGAGCGUUCUAAGGGCGGUGAAGUCAGACCGGAAGGACUGGUGGAGCGCUUAGAAGUGAGAAUGCCGGUAUGAGUAGCGAAAGAAGGGUGAGAAUCCCUUCCACCGAAUAUCUAAGGUUUCCUGAGGAAGGCUCGUCCGCUCAGGGUUAGUCGGGACCUAAGCCGAGGCCGAUAGGCGUAGGCGAUGGACAACAGGUAGAGAUUCCUGUACCAGUGCUAAUUGUUUAACCGAUGGGGUGACACAGAAGGAUAGGGAAUCGCACGAAUGGAAAUGUGCGUCCAAGCAGUGAGUGUGAGAAGUAGGCAAAUCCGCUUCUCGCGAAG
rnacentral:rRNA from 1 species